rnacentral:rRNA from 1 species
UAGGGAAUCUUCCGCAAUGGGCGAAAGCCUGACGGAGCAACGCCGCGUGAGUGAUGAAGGUCUUCGGAUCGUAAAACUCUGUUAUUAGGGAAGAACAAAUGUGUAAGUAACUAUGCACGUCUUGACGGUACCUAAUCAGAAAGCCACGGCUAACUACGUGCCAGCAGCCGCGGUAAUACGUAGGUGGCAAGCGUUAUCCGGAAUUAUUGGGCGUAAAGCGCGCGUAGGCGGUUUUUUAAGUCUGAUGUGAAAGCCGACGGCUCAACCGUGGAGGGUCAUUGGAAACUGGAAAACUUGAGUGCAGAAGAGGAAAGUGGAAUUCCAUGUGUAGCGGUGAAAUGCGCAGAGAUAUGGAGGAACACCAGUGGCGAAGGCGACUUUCUGGUCUGUAACUGACGCUGAUGUGCGAAAGCGUGGGGAUCAAACAGG